ensembl:snRNA U6 U6 spliceosomal RNA
GUACUCACUUCGGCAGCACAUAUACUAAAAUUGAAACGAUACAGUGUUUAGCAUGGCCCCUGCGCA